AAGGGUAAUUGUUUUACAGAAUUUUUGUUUUCUGCCAACUAUCAACGUGAGUCAGCCAUCGGUAUACAUAUGUCCCCCUUGGUCUGAACCCCUUCCAUCUCUCUCCCAUCCCACCCCCCUAGAUUCUUACAGAGCCCCAGUUUGAGUUCCAGGAGUUAUACAGUAAAUUCCCAUUGGCUAUCUAUUUUACAUAUGCUAAUGUAAGUUUCCCUGUUACUUUUUCCAUAGAGCUCACCCUCUCCUUCCUCCCCCUACCCUGUCAAUAAAUCUGUUCUCUAUGUCUGUUUCUCCAUUGCUGCCCUGCAAAUAAAUUCAUCAGUACCAUCUUUCUAGAUUCCAUAUAUGUAUGCGCGUUAGUAUAGGAGAUUUAUCUUUCUCAUUCAGACUGACUUCACUCUGAAUAAUAAGCUCUAGGUUCAUCCACCUCAUUAGACUAGACUCAAAUGCGCUCCUUUUAUGGCUGAAGAGAUUUCUAAUUGAAAAGGCCGUCAAUUAUCCAAGAAAGGAAGAACAAAGAAGGAAUGUUCUGUCCCACAGAUAUCUCCAGGCUCGUCCCAGAGAGGCGGAGCCCAGGGAGAAGUCCAGCCCGGCAGAUUGGGCCUCCGCUGGGGUGACUCAGGCUCCAGUCCAGGGUGGUGAUUGAAGGGGUACUGUGGGCCAGAGAGAAGGCUGCUAUUCCUUCCCUUGCCGGGUUCCACCGGUUUCAAGUCUCAGUUUUCCGCAGCCUUGAGGUGUGUGGGAUGGGGUGGAGGCCUCCUGGCCUCCUGGAGGCGAUCUGGCCGCGGGUCUGGCAGCCUCCGCAGCUGCUGGCUGUUCAGACCCUCCUGGGCCCGGCGCUGUGUGGCUUGGGCCUCUUCUUGACGGGACUGUCGCUCCAUUCCGGACAAGCAGCCGGCUCCUGGCCUUGCGAGUCUCGCCAGCGUUUCUGGCCGCUCUCGACGCGGGACCGUCCGCGUGUCCGGGGCAAGCGUGGCGCGACAGCCCACAGGCGCAGUAGUGCGCGUCCCCGCAGAACUCGGGGCUUAGGCAGGAGGGGCGGCUCAGCGCCGGGAAGUUAUCCAGAGCCCAGGCCCAGGCCUGUUCUCGGUUCAGGCCCGGAGGCAAGGCGGGCUCUGCCCUCCUCCAAGCCUGCGCUUCCAUGGCUUCAGCCUCCUCACCAGGCCGAGAGUGCAAUGGGUCUAGCACAGAGGCGACUGAUUCUGCUAGGUGCGGAGUGUGCCUUUUAUAGCGCCUGCCCGACAAGGUUUUGGGAAACCCGGGAGUUGAUAGG
rnacentral:lncRNA from 1 species